UCUCAGGUGGCCUAGUGGUUAGGGACUAGGGCUUGGGUCUGGAAGGUCCCUGGUUCUAAUCUGUCCUUGAGCA